UUAGUGGCGGACGGGUGAGUAACGCGUGGAAAACCUGCCGUAUACUGGGGGAUAACACUUAGAAAUAGGUGCUAAUACCGCAUAAGCGCACAGUCUCGCAUGAGACGGUGUGAAAAACUCCGGUGGUAUACGAUGGAUCCGCGUCUGAUUAGCUUGUUGGCGGGGUAACAGCCCACCAAGGCGACGAUCAGUAGCCGGCCUGAGAGGGUGAACGGCCACAUUGGGACUGAGACACGGCCCAAACUCCUACGGAAGGCAGCAG
rnacentral:rRNA from 1 species